GAAUUCGCCCUUGGGGAAUUUUCCGCAAUGGGCGAAAGCCUGACGGAGCAAGACCGCGUGGGGGAGGAAGGUUCUUGGAUUGUCAACCCCUUUUCUCAGGGAAGAACACAAUGACGGUACCUGAGGAAAAAGCAUCGGCUAACUCCGUGCCAGCAGCCGCGGUAAUACGGGGGAUGCAAGCGUUAUCCGGAAUGAUUGGGCGUAAAGAGUCCGUAGGUAGUCAUCCAAGUCUGCUGUUAAAGAGCGAGGCUUAACCUCGUAAAGGCAGUGGAAACUGGAAGACUAGAGUGUAGUAGGGGCAGAGGGAAUUCCUGGUGUAGCGGUGAAAUGCGUAGAUAUCAGGAAGAACACCGGUGGCGAAGGCGCUCUGCUGGGCUAUAACUGACACUGAGGGACGAAAGCUAGGGGAGCGAAUGGGAUUAGAUACCCCAGUAGUCCUAGCGGUAAACGAUGGAAACUAGGCGUAGCUCGUAUCGACCCGAGCUGUGCCGUAGCUAACGCGUUAAGUAUCCCGCCUGGGGAGUACGCACGCAAGUGUGAAACUCAAAGGAAUUGACGGGGGCCCGCACAAGCGGUGGAGUAUGUGGUUUAAUUCGAUGCAACGCGAAGAACCUUACCAAGGCUUGACAUGUCACGAAUCCUGUUGAAAGAUAGGAGUGCCUUCGGGAACGUGAA
rnacentral:rRNA from 1 species